UAACCUGGAACCACCCAGAAACUUUCAGUAGCCAAGAGACAUGGCUGAUUCUUACCUGAGAGUCACACCCGCAGGAGGACAGCAGAAGGCAGCAGCAGCCGUGGAACUAUGGACCUGUGACAGUGCACACACAGAGGAGCUUAGAAAUUAUAUCAACUCAGUGGAGAAACUUGCUAUCUUGGGCUGAAGAGAAGUUCUGACAAGGAGUGACAGACAGGAUUGAUUAAAAUUUUUAAAUGGAGUGAUAAAGUACUGAUCAGAAAAUGGAUUUUGUUUACUUGAAAGACUCUCCAAAUUGUUUUGUGGAACAGAAAUUGAUUAAAGAGCUUCCUGAUUGAGAAA